GUACGAAGGGGGCUAGCGUUGCUCGGAAUCACUGGGCGUAAAGGGUGCGUAGGCGGGUCUUUUAAGUCAGGGGUGAAAUCCUGGAGCUCAACUCCAGAACUGCCUUUGAUACUGAAGAUCUUGAGUUCGGGAGAGGUGAGUGGAACUGCGAGUGUAGAGGUGAAAUUCGUAGAUAUUCGCAAGAACACCAGUGGCGAAGGCGGCUCACUGGCCCGAUACUGACGCUGAGGCACGAAAGCGUGGGGAGCAAACAGG
rnacentral:rRNA from 1 species